GAUGGUUACUUUUGGAUUUCACUUGAGAAUAUUCUGAUGUAUUUUGUAUGUUGAACAGUGAUGGUUACUUUUGGAUUUCACUUGAGAAUAUUCUGAUGUAUUUUGUAUGUUGAACAGUGAUAGUUACUUUUUGAUUUCACAUGGGAAUAUUCUGAUAGGUUUUGUAUAUUGAGGAGUGGUAAGUUGUAAAUUCUUUUAACUGAAAUAUUAAAAAGGGGAGCUUGCAUUUUAUUUACUGUGUAUCCAUAUUCUUUUAAAGCCCAAAUAUUGUAUGCAAAUUCUUACUGGGCAUAUACUUCUUGGUUGCAAAAUUAUGAAAUAUUUUUA